rnacentral:rRNA from 1 species
UACGGAGGGUGCAAGCGUUAAUCGGAAUUACUGGGCGUAAAGCGCACGUAGGUGGUUUGCUAAGUCAGCUGUGAAAUCCCCGGGCUCAACCUGGGCACUGCAGUUGAAACUGGUAAGCUAGAGUAGGGUAGAGGGGUGUGGAAUUCCAGGUGUAGCGGUGAAAUGCGUAGAUAUCUGGAGGAACAUCAGUGGCGAAGGCGACACCCUGGACUCAUACUGACACUGAGGUGCGAAAGCGUGGGGAGCAAACAGG